rnacentral:tRNA from 1 species
GCCGUCUUAGCUCAGAAGGUGAGAGCGCCUGAUUGUGGAUCAGGAGGUCGCAGGUUCGAUCCCUGCAGACGGUGCCA